UACGUAGGUGACAAGCGUUGUCCGGAUUUACUGGGCGUAAAGAGCGCGCAGGCGGUCGAUCAAGUCGAGUGUGAAAGCCCCCGGCUCAACUGGGGAGGGUCAUUCGAUACUGAUCGACUCGAAGGCAGGAGAGGGUAGUGGAAUUCCCGGUGUAGUGGUGAAAUGCGUAGAUAUCCGGGGGAACACCGGUGGCGAAGGCGGCUUCCUGGACCGACACUGACGCUGAGGCGCGAAAGCUAGGGGAGCAAACGGG
rnacentral:rRNA from 1 species